rnacentral:lncRNA from 1 species
AUCUCUAACAAGAUAAACUUUUCCACUAUUACAAAACAAUUACAAAUAUUAGUCACCAAGAAAAAUAAUUUGUAAAAGUUUAGAAAUACCACCUCUCUUGAAACCACAAGAGAUGAACUUACAAACACCUCCUUUGAGUAAUCACAAAGGAUGACCACCUCCUCCGAAUUCUUCACGAAGGAUGAUUCUCUUCCAAUCACUUCCUCAGACACACCAAGGAUGAGCAAACU